GCUUCAGAGGUCACAUCUACUGUGCGCUGUAACAUAUAUUUUCGCAAAAAUCUCGUCCUGUGUUGCCAUCAUCAGGGUGCGAUGGAUUACGAUCUUCAAAAUCUGUCAAAGACUCGCUUUCCGAAAUUUUCGGAAAUUCGUUACGUUUAUAGUAAAGAAUCGUCUGCUCUUAAGUUCUUUUACACAAGCAGUUGUUUUGUUUGGGGUGUUUUUUUUUUCUUUUUCUUUCUCACUUUCACACCUCUUGGUGUGAUUCAUGCAAUUAGUUACAUAGUUGGAACAAAUGCAAGCACAUUAUCAUAAAUAACUAACGAUGCUUUGCGUUUUUAUUAUUUUGUUCUUUCGCAGGUGGGGCGAGAAUUCCGUUGUCCGAAUCUUACCGCCCAACGCCCACGCUGAAUUCCUGACCCAUACGUGUUGGGUGUGGAUACUGUGGUCAGCAUCCUUGGAUUUUACUAGAGUGAUAGAAAUACGGCUUGAUCACACGAUCACAGUCUUCGUGAUGUCAAACUCGAGUCUAUAAAACCACUGGCGAUAGUAUAUCGUCACUCGAUCCUGCCUGAAUAUUUGAAGGCAGCCAUGAUCUCCGGUUCAUGACCUACAUGACCUGCGGCACCUGGUGUGUAGAAUGCGGCGAGGAAAACAAGUAAAAAGGACUGAGGAGAUAUCAAACAUCCUCGAAACACUGAAUGGGAAAAUUAGACAGGACCGGGUACCAAAGAUCAGGAGACUUUACAAACCGACAAAUGCAAAAAUCUUGUCAGCCAUGAACACUUGACGAGCAUCGUACGUGUGCAAAAAUAGCAUUUUAGUGUCCGUGUUCUGAAAACACACACACACGCGCGCGCGCGCAGAAAUUAAUUUGUAGGGAAGAAGACACAGGAGGCUGGUUUGGAGGUGGACCAGGACGGAUCGAGUGAGUGUUGGAAACAGAGGGAUGCAGUGCACACCUUUUAAAAGCCUGCUGGUCAGUCUUAAACGCAGGUGCUCUACUCGCGAGGCUGCAUUAACCUUUCAGGAGGAGCAGGUGAAAAAACGUUGGUGGGGGCAGCAGCGGGAGGGGUUUAAAUUUGUUGCGACGUUGUACAACUACUACUGCCAUCAGUUUGUGCUGUCGCGACCAGAUUCGAUCUCCCACACAACCCACAUUAAAGAAGAUGUAUCAACGAAAUUGCUAAAGUUCGUUUCCUAACCGGGCCAAAUGCCAAAGUGACAAACCUUCGAUGUCUUUCAAAGUCCUAUAUUGCAUUGGCAAAUGUAUUGACAACAAUCUUGGGCUUGCUGAUCGGAGUUCCCAUUUCCCGAGCGUUCGUUGGAAACCCAACUGUUUUGCUGUGACCUUCACACACAACUUUGAUAAACUUGAUCAAAUGUUCGAGAUAUUUGUUCUGUUUCUCCGAGUCAGCACUAACUUCAGCCAUGUGGCGGUCGUUUUGUCAAUGUGUCACUUACCCUUGUAUAUAAACCUGAAUACCUCUGUAUGUCUGAAGUUUUUUGUUUUUUUUAAAAAGUAGAAUGUGCACGCAGUAAAAUGAAUGUCGUGUUCGACCCAGGUAAAAAAGUAGAAAAAUUACGGUGCUUGUUCGUGGAAGAAUGGAGGAAAGAGUUCCGUGUAUGCCCGUGGUGAAAAAGUUUAAGGUGUUUGGUGGCUGCGCUGUUUGUUGUUACACACUAAACACUCAAAGCUGAUUUAAACAGGAAUUGUAAGCCUUUGUCCCCUGGCCCCAUCUGUCCUCCUCGAGUUGCGUAUCAUCAUUGUUUUUGUACACAUUCUCCAUCCAACCCCCCGUGGGAGAGUUUCCAGAACAAUAGCUAGGAGUGGUGUGGCAUGACAUUGAUAUGAAUAAACCCAGUGGAUGUUUUAUGCGUCACUGUCCUAAUGAAGUCUCGAGUUCC